UACGUAGGGGGCAAGCGUUAUCCGGAUUUACUGGGUGUAAAGGGAGCGUAGACGGCAGAGCAAGUCCGGAGUGAAAGCCCGGGGCCCAACCCCGGGACUGCUCUGGAAACUGUUAAGCUGGAGUGCAGGAGGGGCAGGCGGAAUUCCUGGUGUAGCGGUGAAAUGCGUAGAUAUCAGGAGGAACACCGGUGGCGAAGGCGGCCUGCUGGACUGCAACUGACGUUGAGGCCCGAAAGCGUGGGGAGCAAACAGG
rnacentral:rRNA from 1 species